AAGAGACUGGGAUAACACCUGGAAACAGAUGCUAAUACCGGAUAACAACACUAGACGCAUGUCUAGAGUUUAAAAGAUGGUUCUGCUAUCACUCUUGGAUGGACCUGCGGUGCAUUAGCUAGUUGGUAAGGCAACGGCUUACCAAGGCAAUGAUGCAUAGCCGAGUUGAGAGACUGAUCGGCCACAUUGGGACUGAGACACGGCCCAAACUCCUACGGGAGGCAGCAGCC
rnacentral:rRNA from 1 species